rnacentral:rRNA from 1 species
UACAGAGGGCGCGAGCGUUGUCCGGAAUCACUGGGCGUAAAGGGCGCGUAGGUGGCCACUAUAAGGCUGCGGUGAAAGUUCGGGGCUCAACCCCGAAUCUGCCGCGGCGACUGUAGGGCUUGGGCACCGUAGAGGCAGAUGGAAUUCCGGGUGUAGCGGUGGAAUGCGUAGAGAUCCGGAAGAACACCAGUGGCGAAGGCGGUCUGCUGGGCGGUGGGAGCGCAAGCUCCUCUUGAGCCGACACUGAGGCGCGACAGCGUGGGGAGCAAACAGG